rnacentral:miRNA from 1 species
UCCCAAGGGUGAGAUGCUGCCA